CCUACGGGAGGCAGCAGUGAGGAAUAUUGGUCAAUGAGCGUAAGCCUGAACCAGCCAAGUAGCGUGAGGGAUGAAGGUUCUAUGGAUCGUAAACCUCGUUUAUAAGGGAAUAAAGUGCGGGACGUAUCCCGUUUUGUAUGUACCUUAUGAAUAAGGAUCGGCUAACUCCGUUAAAGCAGCCGCGGUAAUACGGAGGAUCCGACCGUUAUCCGGUUCUAUUGGGUUUAAAGGGUGCGUAGGGGGGCUUUUAAGUCAGCGGUGAAAGUCUAUGGCUCAACCCUAGAAUUGCCGUUGAAACUGGUUUUCUUGAGUGAGCGAGAAGUAUGCGGAAUGCGUGGUGUAGCGGUGAAAUGCAUAGAUAUCACGCAGAACUCCGAUUGCGAAGGCAGCAUACCGGCGCUCAACUGACGCUCAUGCACGAAAGUGUGGGUAUCGAACAGGAUUAGAUACCCUAGUAGUC
rnacentral:rRNA from 1 species